GCGGCAUGAUGGCGCGCUGGCUGCGGGUGCAGCAGCAGAAACCGCGCGGCGUGCUGAUCGUCGGCGCCAACAGCGUGGCGCGCAUGCUGGCGCAGGCGCUGAUCAACGCUGAACGU
rnacentral:snoRNA from 1 species